AUGAUCUUGUGUUUGUACCUGGAUGGUUAUGUCUGCAUGCUCAAGUAUUUCUUUUUUUCUUUUUUUUUUUUCCUGCCCUGUUUGCUGACUUCUAGAUCUGAGAAAUGCUGCUCUCACUUGGACUACAUGGCCUUCUGCCACAAAAUGCCAGAAGAGCUUCAAUUUGAAGCCUGAAGAAACUGUUAU
rnacentral:lncRNA from 1 species